UACGUAGGGGGCAAGCGUUGUCCGGAAUCAUUGGGCGUAAAGCGCGUGUAGGCGGUUCAGUAAGUCUGCUGUGAAAGUCCAGGGCUCAACCCUGGGAUGCCGGUGGAUACUGCUGGGCUAGAGUACGGAAGAGGCGAGUGGAAUUCCCGGUGUAGCGAUGAAAUGCGCAGAUAUCAGGAGGAACACCGGUGGCGAAGGCGCCACUCUGGGCCGAAACUGACGCUGAGGAGCGAAAGCGUGGGUAGCAAACAGG
rnacentral:rRNA from 1 species